UGGGAGAAUAGUAAGGACGUG
rnacentral:piRNA from 1 species